rnacentral:rRNA from 1 species
GACGAACGCUGGCGGCGUGCUUAACACAUGCAAGUCGAACGGAACGGCCCUGCUUUUGUGGGGUGCUCGAGUGGCGAACGGGUGAGUAACACGUGAGUAACCUGUCAUUGACUUUGGGAUAACUUCAGGAAACUGGGGCUAAUACCGGCUAGGAGCUCCCGCUGUUUGGUGGGGGCUGGAUAGUUUCGGCGGUUGGGGAUGGACUCGCGGCUUAUCAGCUUGUUGGUGGGGUAGUGGCUUACCAAGGCUUUGACGGGUAGCCGGGCUGGUAGGGUGACCGGCCAAGUCGGGACUGGAAUACGACACGGACUCCAACGGUAGGGAGGGGAGGAGUGGGUAAUACUAGAGACGGGGGGCUGGUGCGACAACGCCGCGUGGGGGAUGACAGCAAUCGGGUAGUGAUCCGCAUUCGCCCGUCACGAGACGUGAGUGACGGUAAUGGGUGAAGAAGCACCGGCUAACUCCGUG